rnacentral:lncRNA from 1 species
AAAACCGAACCAGCCCAAUAGAAAAACGCAAACCAAACCGAACCGCAAAAAAACGCAUUUGAUUUGGAUGUGUUUGAGUCAUUUUUUAACAAAACCGCGCGAUUCGGUUCUGUUUGUAGUUUGUAUUUUACAAUUCGAACCAAACUGAAACAAAUUGCAUUAUGUUACAACCCAAACAUCAUUUAUCCCAUAUCCAACCAAAAACCCAAACCUAUUAUGUCUUAUGUCUUAGCCUUACAAUUACG